CAGCCGCCACGGUAAUACGAAGGGUGCAAGCGUUACUCGGAAUUACUGGGCGUAAAGCGUGCGUAGGUGGUGGUUUAAGUCUGUUGUGAAAGCCCUGGGCUCAACCUGGGAAUUGCAGUGGAUACUGGGUCACUAGAGUGUGGUAGAGGGUAGUGGAAUUUCCGGUGUAGCAGUGAAAUGCGUAGAGAUCGGAAGGAACAUCUGUGGCGAAGGCAACUAUCUGGGCCAACACUGACACUGAGGCACGAAAGCGUGGGGAGCAAACAGGAUUAGAUACCCCCGUAGUCCCUGUCUCUUAUAC
rnacentral:rRNA from 1 species